AACAACCAUUAUAACUUGAACCCCUUUGUCAGGUUACCAUUUCCGGGGUAUUCAAAUCACAUACAAAAUCAUUAUUUUGAAUAAUCCAAAGAGCAAAUGGAAUUCGUCCAAAACAACACUACAUUAGUCUAUUACAAUCAUUACAUUAUACUACAGCCCAAAUAAGCCUACUACUACCUACAAUUACAAUACAUAAUAUGCUACUCUUUGGUGAUAUGCUUCACAGCUUCAGACUUGGAUUCGCACUUCACGUGUGCAAAAAAUAAG
rnacentral:lncRNA from 1 species